AGGAUUCUUUGAGGCCAGGAGUUUGAGACCAGCCUGGGAAACAGUGAGACCCCAUUAAAAAAAAAAAAUUGUGAUUAAAUUUCUUCAUAUGCAAACACCAUUUAAAAAGAUUUAUCUUAUUUCUGAUCAUCUCUGCAACUGAACAGGAAACUAAAAAACCACAACACUUAAAAGACAACUUCCUGUGGGAUUUUUGGUGUCUGCGGCUCAGAAUGAAAAAAGCAUUAUGUGUGCAAAAUCUUUACACAUUUUAGAUAGAACUACUUAAUAAAACAGCCUUGACCAAAUGAACAACUAUAUCCACACCUAAUUUGUAUAUAUGUAUAUGUAUGGUUUUAAUUGCAAAAAAGAUCCUUAGGAAAGCAUAUUUAUGUUAUUUUUAUAUGAACUGUGAGUUUACGCUUGACAAAGAGGAAGUAUUUAUUUACGGUAGUGAAGCAUUAGACAAUCUCGAUAAUGUCAGAGAAGAGAAUAUAUACAAAAUAUUAGAAGGAGAAGCACUUUAUCAAGAUGUUAUAACAACCAAAAGUAAUCCUGAUUCCACUCCUAUGCCAUACCAUUAAAGAUUCUACAAAUUGUUACAGAAUUUUCCUCUGCCAAUAAAGUCAUGUAACAAUGUUAAA